GGUUAAGCGACUAAGCGUACACGGUGGAUGCCCUGGCAGUCAGAGGCGAUGAAGGRCGUGCUAAUCUGCGAUAAGCGCCGGUAAGGUGAUAUGAACCGUUAUAACCGGCGAUWYCCGAAUGGGGAAACCCAGUGUGACUCGUCACACUAUCAUUAACUGAAUCCAUAGGUUAAUGAGGCGAACCGGGGGAACUGAAACAUCUAAGUACCCCGAGGAAAAGAAAUCAACCGAGAUUCCCCCAGUAGCGGCGAGCGAACGGGGAGGAGCCCAGAGCCUGAAUCAGCAUGUGUGUUAGUGGAAGCGUCUGGAAAGGCGCGCGAUACAGGGUGACAGCCCCGUACACAAAAGCGCAUGUGCUGUGAGCUCGAUGAGUAGGGCGGGACACGUGGUAUCCUGUCUGAAUAUGGGGGGACCAUCCUCCAAGGCUAAAUACUCCUGACUGACCGAUAGUGAACCAGUACCGUGAGGGAAAGGCGAAAAGAACCCCGGCGAGGGGAGUGAAAAAGAACCUGAAACCGUGUACGUACAAGCAGUGGGAGCACAGGUUUACCUGUGUGACUGCGUACCUUUUGUAUAAUGGGUCAGCGACUUAUAUUCUGUAGCAAGGUUAACCGAAUAGGGGAGCCGGAGGGAAACCGAGUCUUAAUUGGGCGUUAAGUUGCAGGGUAUAGACCCGAAACCCGGUGAUCUAGCCAUGGGCAGGUUGAAGGUUGGGUAACACUAACUGGAGGACCGAACCGACUAAUGUUGAAAAAUUAGCGGAUGACCUGUGGCUGGGGGUGAAAGGCCAAUCAAACCGGGAGAUAGCUGGUUCUCCCCGAAAGCUAUUUAGGUAGCGCCUCGUGAAUUCAUCUCCGGGGGUAGAGCACUGUUUCGGCUAGGGGGCCAUCCCGGCUUACCAACCCGAUGCAAACUGCGAAUACCGGAGAAUGUUAUCACGGGAGACACACGGCGGGUGCUAACGUCCGUCGUGAAGAGGGAAACAACCCAGACCGCCAGCUAAGGUCCCAAAGUCAUGGUUAAGUGGGAAACGAUGUGGGAAGGCCCAGACAGCCAGGAUGUUGGCUUAGAAGCAGCCAUCAUUUAAAGAAAGCGUAAUAGCUCACUGGUCGAGUCGGCCUGCGCGGAAGAUGUAACGGGGCUAAACCAUGCACCGAAGCUGCGGCAGCGACGCUGAUGCGUUGUUGGGUAGGGGAGCGUUCUGUAAGCCUGCGAAGGUGGCCUGUGAGGGUUGCUGGAGGUAUCAGAAGUGCGAAUGCUGACAUAAGUAACGAUAAAGCGGGUGAAAAGCCCGCUCGCCGGAAGACCAAGGGUUCCUGUCCAACGUUAAUCGGGGCAGGGUGAGUCGACCCCUAAGGCGAGGCCGAAAGGCGUAGUCGAUGGGAAACGGGUUAAUAUUCCCGUACUUGGUGUUACUGCGAAGGGGGGACGGAGAAGGCUAUGUUGGCCGGGCGACGGUUGUCCCGGUUUAAGCGUGUAGGUGUGUGUUCCAGGUAAAUCCGGUUCACUUUAACACUGAGGCGUGAUGACGAGGCACUACGGUGCUGAAGCAACAAAUGCCCUGCUUCCAGGAAAAGCCUCUAAGCAUCAGGUAACAUCAAAUCGUACCCCAAACCGACACAGGUGGUCAGGUAGAGAAUACCAAGGCGCUUGAGAGAACUCGGGUGAAGGAACUAGGCAAAAUGGUGCCGUAACUUCGGGAGAAGGCACGCUGACACGUAGGUGAAGUGAUUUACUCAUGGAGCUGAAGUCAGUCGAAGAUACCAGCUGGCUGCAACUGUUUAUUAAAAACACAGCACUGUGCAAACACGAAAGUGGACGUAUACGGUGUGACGCCUGCCCGGUGCCGGAAGGUUAAUUGAUGGGGUCAGCGCAAGCGAAGCUCCUGAUCGAAGCCCCGGUAAACGGCGGCCGUAACUAUAACGGUCCUAAGGUAGCGAAAUUCCUUGUCGGGUAAGUUCCGACCUGCACGAAUGGCGUAAUGAUGGCCAGGCUGUCUCCACCCGAGACUCAGUGAAAUUGAACUCGCUGUGAAGAUGCAGUGUACCCGCGGCAAGACGGAAAGACCCCGUGAACCUUUACUAUAGCUUGACACUGAACAUUGAGCCUUGAUGUGUAGGAUAGGUGGGAGGCUUUGAAGUGUGGACGCCAGUCUGCAUGGAGCCGACCUUGAAAUACCACCCUUUAAUGUUUGAUGUUCUAACGUGGACCCGUGAUCCGGGUUGCGGACAGUGUCUGGUGGGUAGUUUGACUGGGGCGGUCUCCUCCUAAAGAGUAACGGAGGAGCACGAAGGUUGGCUAAUCCUGGUCGGACAUCAGGAGGUUAGUGCAAUGGCAUAAGCCAGCUUGACUGCGAGCGUGACGGCGCGAGCAGGUGCGAAAGCAGGUCAUAGUGAUCCGGUGGUUCUGAAUGGAAGGGCCAUCGCUCAACGGAUAAAAGGUACUCCGGGGAUAACAGGCUGAUACCGCCCAAGAGUUCAUAUCGACGGCGGUGUUUGGCACCUCGAUGUCGGCUCAUCACAUCCUGGGGCUGAAGUAGGUCCCAAGGGUAUGGCUGUUCGCCAUUUAAAGUGGUACGCGAGCUGGGUUUAGAACGUCGUGAGACAGUUCGGUCCCUAUCUGCCGUGGGCGCUGGAGAACUGAGGGGGGCUGCUCCUAGUACGAGAGGACCGGAGUGGACGCAUCACUGGUGUUCGGGUUGUCAUGCCAAUGGCACUGCCCGGUAGCUAAAUGCGGAAGAGAUAAGUGCUGAAAGCAUCUAAGCACGAAACUUGCCCCGAGAUGAGUUCUCCCUGAGACUUA
rnacentral:rRNA from 1 species